GACGAACGCUGGCGGCGUGCUUAACACAUGCAAGUCGAACGGAAAGGCCCUGCUUUUGUGGGGUGCUCGAGUGGCGAACGGGUGAGUAACACGUGAGUAACCUGCCCUUGACUUUGGGAUAACUUCAGGAAACUGGGGCUAAUACCGGAUAGGAGCUCCUGCUGCAUGGUGGGGGUUGGAAAGUUUCGGCGGUUGGGGAUGGACUCGCGGCUUAUCAGCUUGUUGGUGGGGUAGUGGCUUACCAAGGCUUUGACGGGUAGCCGGCCUGAGAGGGUGACCGGCCACAUUGGGACUGAGAUACGGCCCAGACUCCUACGGGAGGCAGCAGUGGGGAAUAUUGCACAAUGGGCGGAAGCCUGAUGCAGCAACGCCGCGUGCGGGAUGACGGCCUUCGGGUUGUAAACCGCUUUCGCCUGUGACGAAGCGUGAGUGACGGUAAUGGGUAAAGAAGCACCGGCUAACUACGUGCCAGCAGCCGCGGUGAUACGUAGGGUGCGAGCGUUGUCCGGAUUUAUUGGGCGUAAAGGGCUCGUAGGUGGUUGAUCGCGUCGGAAGUGUAAUCUUGGGGCUUAACCCUGAGCGUGCUUUCGAUACGGGUUGACUUGAGGAAGGUAGGGGAGAAUGGAAUUCCUGGUGGAGCGGUGGAAUGCGCAGAUAUCAGGAGGAACACCAGUGGCGAAGGCGGUUCUCUGGGCCUUUCCUGACGCUGAGGAGCGAAAGCGUGGGGAGCGAACAGGCUUAGAUACCCUGGUAGUCCACGCUGUAAACGGUGGGUACUAGGUGUGGGGUCCAUUCCACGGGUUCCGUGCCGUAGCUAACGCUUUAAGUACCCCGCCUGGGGAGUACGGCCGCAAGGCUAAAACUCAAAGGAAUUGACGGGGCCCCGCACAAGCGGCGGAGCAUGCGGAUUAAUUCGAUGCAACGCGUAGAACCUUACCUGGGUUUGACAUGGAUCGGGAGCGCUCAGAGAUGGGUGUGCCUCUUUUGGGGUCGGUUCACAGGUGGUGCAUGGCUGUCGUCAGCUCGUGUCGUGAGAUGUUGGGUUAAGUCCCGCAACGAGCGCAACCCUUGUUCACUGUUGCCAGCACGUUAUGGUGGGGACUCAGUGGAGACCGCCGGGGUCAACUCGGAGGAAGGUGGGGAUGACGUCAAGUCAUCAUGCCCCUUAUGUCCAGGGCUUCACGCAUGCUACAAUGGCUGGUACAGAGAGUGGCGAGCCUGUGAGGGUGAGCGAAUCUCGGAAAGCCAGUCUCAGUUCGGAUUGGGGUCUGCAACUCGACCUCAUGAAGUCGGAGUCGCUAGUAAUCGCAGAUCAGCAACGCUGCGGUGAAUACGUUCCCGGG
rnacentral:rRNA from 1 species